GUACACGCUGUGACUAGCAUAUCAAUAAGCGGAGGAAAAGAAACUAACAAGGAUUCCCUUAGUAACGGCGAGUGAAGCGGGAAGAGCUCAAAUUUGAAAUCUUGAAAGGUCACCUUUCACGAAUUGUAGUUUAAAGAAGUGUUUUCUGUUACGAUCGUAAUAUAAGUUCUUUGGAAUAGGACAUCACAGAGGGUGAGAAUCCCGUCUAUGAUUGCGAUUUGUAGCUUUGUGAUACACUUUCAAAGAGUCGGGUUGUUUGGGAAUGCAGCCCAAAACGGGAGGUAAAUUUCUUCUAAGGCUAAAUAUUGGCGAGAGACCGAUAGCGAACAAGUACCGUGAGGGAAAGAUGAAAAGAACUUUGAAAAGAGAGUUAAAUAGUACGUGAAAUUGUCAAAAGGGAAGCGUUUGACACCAGUGUUGUUUUCUCGAAAAUCAAUUAAAAAAAGUUGGAUUUUGUGUUGUAUUGACCUUAACAGCUUUCUUCACUCUUUUCCUGCUUUUUUUAAUGCACUUUUCGUUUAACAAGUCAACAUCAGUUCCUUUUGUUGUAAAAGGGUCAUUGGAAGGUGGCUUUCUUUUCGGAGAAAGUGUUUAUAGCCUUUGGCCUCUGCAAUCGAAGAGACUGAGGUCUGCAGCGUAGACUCUUCGGGGUUAGAUACAUUUGUGCUAAGUUAUAGCUUUUUAUAGACAACUUGUUGACUAUAAUUAGUCUUGUAGCUUACUCGUUUAUGCUAUUUUACCUACGCUUAGGAUGUUGACGCAUGAGAUAUACGC
rnacentral:rRNA from 1 species